rnacentral:rRNA from 1 species
GUCUAUGGCCAUAGCACUCUGAACGUGCCCAAUUUCCUCUGACCUUGGAAGCUAAUCAGGGUUGGGCCUGGCUAGUACUUAGAUG